GGAGAGAACACAGAGAGAAGAAGGGAAAGGGGGAGGUGGAGGAGAUGGGGAGGAGAGAACACAGAGAGAAGAAGGGAAAGGGGGAGGUGGAGGAGAUGGGGAGGAGAGAACACAGAGAGAAGAAGGGAAAGGGGGAGGUGGAGGAGAUGGGGAGGAGAGAACACAGAGAGAAGAAGGGAAAGGGGGAGGUGGAGGAGAUGGGGAGGAGAGAACACAGAGAGAAGAAGGGAAAGGGGGAGGUGGAGGAGAUGGGGAGGAGAGAACACAGAGAGAAGAAGGGAAAGGGGGAGGUGGAGGAGAUGGGGAGGAGAGAACACAGAGAGAAGAAGGGAAAGGGGGAGGUGGAGGAGAUGGGGAGGAGAGAACACAGAGAGAAGAAGGGAAAGGGGGAGGUGGAGGAGAUGGGGAGGAGAGAACACAGAGAGAAGAAGGGAAAGGGGAGGUGGAGGAGAUGGGGAGGAGAGAACACAGAGAGAAGAAGGGAAAGGGGAGGUGGAGGAGAUGGGGAGGAGAGAACACAGAGAGAAGAAGGGAAAGGGGGAGGUGGAGGAGAUGGGGAGGAGAGAACACAGAGAGAAGAAGGGAAAGGGGGAGGUGGAGGAGAUGGGGAGGAGAGAACACAGAGAGAAGAAGGGAAAUGAGGAGAGAAAGAGGAGAAAGAAGACAAGUUCAGCACGAGUGGGGAGCGCAUCAUCAAAUCUCUGUAUGGAACUUCAACAAUGAAUGUGAUUGGUCUAAAAGUAUUUAC